AUUGUGGACCCACCUGAUUCCAUGUCGAACUCAGAAGUGAAACACAAUAGCGCCGAUGGUAGUGUGGGGCUUCCCCAUGUGAGAGUAGGACAUCGUCAGGC
rnacentral:rRNA from 1 species